AGAGUUUGAUCAUGGCUCAGGACGAACGCUGGCGGCGCGCCUAACACAUGCAAGUCGAACGAGCGAGAGAGAGCUUGCUUUCUCGAGCGAGUGGCGAACGGGUGAGUAACGCGUGAGGAACCUGCCUCAAAGAGGGGGACAACAGUUGGAAACGACUGCUAAUACCGCAUAAGCCCACGGGUCGGCAUCGACCAGAGGGAAAAGGAGCAAUCCGCUUUGAGAUGGCCUCGCGUCCGAUUAGCUAGUUGGUGAGGUAACGGCCCACCAAGGCGACGAUCGGUAGCCGGACUGAGAGGUUGAACGGCCACAUUGGGACUGAGACACGGCCCAGACUCCUACGGGAGGCAGCAGUGGGGAAUAUUGCACAAUGGGGGAAACCCUGAUGCAGCGACGCCGCGUGGAGGAAGAAGGUCUUCGGAUUGUAAACUCCUGUUGUUGAGGAAGAUAAUGACGGUACUCAACAAGGAAGUGACGGCUAACUACGUGCCAGCAGCCGCGGUAAAACGUAGGUCACAAGCGUUGUCCGGAAUUACUGGGUGUAAAGGGAGCGCAGGCGGGAAGACAAGUUGGAAGUGAAAUCCAUGGGCUUAACCCAUGAACUGCUUUCAAAACUAUUUUUCUUGAGUAGUGCAGAGGUAGGCGGAAUUCCCGGUGUAGCGGUGGAAUGCGUAGAUAUCGGGAGGAACACCAGUGGCGAAGGCGGCCUACUGGGCACCAACUGACGCUGAGGCUCGAAAGUGUGGGUAGCAAACAGGAUUAGAUACCCUGGUAGUCCACACCGUAAACGAUGAUUACUAGGUGUUGGAGGAUUGACCCCUUCAGUGCCGCAGUUAACACAAUAAGUAAUCCACCUGGGGAGUACGACCGCAAGGUUGAAACUCAAAGGAAUUGACGGGGGCCCGCACGAGCAGUGGAGUAUGUGGUUUAAUUCGACGCAACGCGAAGAACCUUACCAAGUCUUGACAUCCGUUGACCGCUGUAGAAAUACAGCUUUCCUUCGGGACAGCGAGACAGGUGGUGCAUGGUUGUCGUCAGCUCGUGUCGUGAGAUGUUGGGUUAAGUCCCGCAACGAGCGCAACCCUUAUGGUCAGUUACUACGCAAGAGGACUCUGGCCAGACUGCCGUUGACAAAACGGAGGAAGGUGGGGAUGACGUCAAAUCAUCAUGCCCUUUAUGACUUGGGCUACACACGUACUACAAUGGCGUUAAACAAAGAGAAGCAAGACCGCGAGGUGGAGCAAAACUCAGAAACAACGUCCCAGUUCGGACUGCAGGCUGCAACUCGCCUGCACGAAGUCGGAAUUGCUAGUAAUCGUGGAUCAGCAUGCCACGGUGAAUACGUUCCCGGGCCUUGUACACACCGCCCGUCACACCAUGAGAGCCGGGGGGACC
rnacentral:rRNA from 1 species